AUCACGAGAAGAAGAGGUAAGAGUAAUAAAAUUUUUUUAUUCAACAUUACGAAUUGAGUUACGAGAUGAAGUGGUUGUAAUUAAUUUAAAACAUAUUGCAUCACGAGAAGAAUAGGAAAAAUAUUGCUAUACUUAAGUAUCAAGAUUAAAAUACUGAUGCACCGUUAAACUGAAGGUGGUAAUAAAGUUGACAAAAUUUGCUCUGGCUGAAUUUUUCAAUGAAAAAACAAUAUGUGUGCUAUGAAUGUAAUCUGUUUUUCAUGGCGUAUCAAUGAAAGUUUGGUGUAUUGGCCAAAUCACUUGCAAGCAUCUUGCCUUUAAACUGCCAUACGUAAAGUCACGCUUUUAAAAGUAACUGAAAGCAGCUGAAAGUAAGAAUUUUUUGAAUGGAAUUAUCUGUGCCUCCAGCUUAAAAAGAUGCA